AGACUUCAUGACUGUAAGUUUCUCUGGGUAAGAGCGUCUGCUAAAUGACUGAAU
rfam:Salmo salar isolate Sally breed double haploid chromosome ssa15, whole genome shotgun sequence.